GAUGAACGCUAGCGGCAGGCUUAAUACAAGCAAGUCGAGGGGUAGCAAGAUUGUAGCAAUACAAUUGUUGACGACCGGCAAACGGGUGCGGAACACGUACACAACCUUCCUGCAAGUGGGGAAUAGCCCAGAGAAAUUUGGAUUAAUACCCCGUAACAUAGCGAUGUGGCAUCACAUUGCUAUUAUAGCUUCGGCGCUUGUUGAUGGGUGUGCGGCUGAUUAGAUAGUUGGCGGGGUAACGGCCCACCAAGUCUACGAUCAGUAGCUGAUGUGAGAGCAUGAUCAGCCACACGGGCACUGAGACACGGGCCCGACUCCUACGGGAGGCAGCAGUAAGGAAUAUUGGACAAUGGACGCAAGUCUGAUCCAGCCAUGCCGCGUGAAGGAUUAAGGUCCUCUGGAUUGUAAACUUCUUUUAUAAGGGACGAAAAAAGGUCUUUCUAGAUCGUCUGACGGUACCUUAUGAAUAAGCACCGGCUAACUCCGUGCCAGCAGCCGCGGUAAAAC
rnacentral:rRNA from 1 species